GGAGCUUGCUCCAAUCGUUAGUGGCGAACGGGUGAGUAACACGUGAGCAACCUGCCCCGAAGAUUGGGAUAACACCGGGAAACCGGUGCGAAUACUGAAUACCUUCCUCAUUUCGCAUGAUGAGAGGAAGAAAGUUUUUUCGCUUCGGGAGGGGCUCGCGGUCCAUCAGCUUGUUGGCGGGGUAACGGCCCACCAAGGCUACGACGGAUAGCUGGUCUGAGAGGACGAUCAGCCACACUGGAACUGAGACACGGUCCAGACUCCUACGGGAGGCAGCAGUGGGGAAUCUUGCGCAAUGGGCGAAAGCCUGACGCAGCAACGCCGCGUGAGGGACGAAGGCUUUCUGAGUUGUAAACCUCUUUCGACAGGAACGAUUGUGACGGUACCUGUAGAAGAAGCACCGGCCAACUAUGUGCCAGCAGCCGCGGUGAUACAUAGGGUGCGAGCGUUAUUCGGAUUUAUUGGGCGUAAAGAGCUCGUAGGCGGUUCAACAAGUCGGGUGUUAAACCCCCAGGCUCAACCUGGGGUCGCCACCCGAAACUGUUGUGACUAGAGUUUGGUAGGGGAUCACGGAAUUCCUGGUGUAGCGGUGGA
rnacentral:rRNA from 1 species